rnacentral:rRNA from 1 species
UACGGAGGGUGCGAGCGUUAAUCGGAAUUACUGGGCGUAAAGGGCACGCAGGCGGGCUUUUAAGUGGGAUGUGAAAUCCCCGGGCUUAACCUGGGAAUAGCAUUUCAAACUGGGAGGCUAGAGUCUUGUAGGGGGGGGUAGAAUUCCACGUGUAGCGGUGAAAUGCGUAGAGAUGUGGAGGAAUACCGAUGGCGAAGGCAGCCCCCUGGACAAAGACUGACGCUCAGGUGCGAAAGCGUGGGGAGCAAACAGG